GGGGAAUAUUGCGCAAUGGGGGGAACCCUGACGCAGCCAUGCCGCGUGAAUGAAGAAGGCCUUCGGGUUGUAAAGUUCUUUCGGUAUUGAGGAAGGUUGAUGUGUUAAUAGUACAUCAAAUUGACGUUAAAUACAGAAGAAGCACCGGCUAACUCCGUGCCAGCAGCCGCGGUAAUACGGAGGGUGCGAGCGUUAAUCGGAAUAACUGGGCGUAAAGGGCACGCAGGCGGUUAUUUAAGUGAGGUGUGAAAGCCCCGGGCUUAACCUGGGAAUAGCAUUUCAGACUGGGUAACUAGAGUACUUUAGGGAGGGGUAGAAUUCCACGUGUAGCGGUGAAAUGCGUAGAGAUGUGGAGGAAUACCGAAGGCGAAGGCAGCCCCUUGGGAAUGUACUGACGCUCAUGUGCGAAAGCGUGGGGAGCAAACAGGAUUAGAUACCCUGGUAGUCCACGCUGUAAACGCUGUCGAUUUGGGGAUUGGGCUUAGAGCUUGGUGCCCGUAGCUAACGUGAUAAAUCGACCGCCUGGGGAGUACGGCCGCAAGGUUA
rnacentral:rRNA from 1 species